rnacentral:tRNA from 1 species
GCGGGGGUGCCCGAGCCAGGCCAAAGGGGCCGGACUCAAGAUCCGGUGGCGUAGGCCUUCGUGGGUUCAAAUCCCACCCCCCGCACCA